CCCUCCAUAUCCUUCCUUCCCCGCAUCUUCCUCGGCGGAGACCCACGGGGAUAGGAAAUUCGGGGAUGUCAUUGGAGGCCCCUCUAAGUUUUUAUUCUUCCUUCAGCUGAGCUCAUGCCUCAAUUUUGUCCACAGAGUACCAACUUGCUCUGCAAAAUAAGGGAUUGCUAAAGCAACAGAUUAAAACCUAGGAUGUGGAAGAAAAUAUUUUACUGGAUCAAGCUGGGAUGUUUCGGAUCAACUGUAUAUAAGGAUGAGUUUUCCCACCUUGAGCAGAAAGCCAGCUGGGAAGCCAGGGGUGAGUCUUUGAGCUUUAGGAAGGAAGCAGUGGCAAACCUCUCCUGAAAAACCUUGCCAAGUAAACAGCAGGGACUUGUCCAGAUGGACGUAGCCAGAAUUUGCAUAUCCCCAUGGAUUGGUUCGCCAAGCCGUGAGAUAUUUAAACUGCUAUCAUUGGUUGACAGGCUUGCCAGAGCUGAAUAAAUGGAGAGCUCUGGCAGUAUGCUGGCAGAUCUAUUGUGGCAAACAGGGAAAUAAAGUGCUGAAUGUUUUUCGAGCCUGCAGUCCUUUAUCCAUGGUCACCUAACACUGACAAUGAAGGACAAAGGAAUUUCACCAUCCACUUUGUGGCAUCCGUGGCCAUCUUAUCGCAAGGACACCCUGCAUCAACCAGGAUCAGGAUGGCAUAACACACAUCCCUCGCACCGGCAAUUUUCGAUCCACACAUACAUGGGGAGAUUUGGAUGUUCCUGAAAGCAAACAAUUUCCAGGACUUUCCAGACAGUCACAAGCGCACCCUAUUCCUCACCUACUGUGGCAUGAAGACCUACAAGAUGGCACAGAUGCUCAUCACCCCUGCUAAAGUGGAAUCCAUCUCUAGGACAACCCUGAAAAAUGCCUUGGAAGACCACUAUGCCCCGCCUGCCACUUCCAUGGUAAAUCGAAAUUAAUGCUAUCACCCGCACCAAUGGGACGGGGAGGCAGUCAACGAUUUUGUGGCCAUUUUCAAAGAAAUCACCACAAAAUGUGAAUUCAUUAAUCUGGAAGAGAUGAUGAGGGACCAAAUUAUCCUUGGAAUGAGGAAUCUAUCCUACAAAAGAAGUUCUUGGUCCGGAGGGGUCACAUUCAAGGAUGUGGUAGAGGAGGUGAGAGCUGCAAAGUCCUCAAACAAUUCUGCGGUGGAUAUCAGGAAGGCAAGUGGGGUCCAUCUCACUAAAGGGAACCUGACUGGGCCACGGAUGUUUCGGAGAACGAGGGAGAGUGGGAAGAUAAGGACACAAUCCACUGCAUCUACCCGAGCGGCAAGCAAACCCCAGAGACUAUGAAACUAAGCAGCCACACUGUUCAGGCUGCAUGGGGCUUCACACCAGAUCAGCCUGCCAUUUUAAAGAGGCCAUCUGCCAACAGUGCCAAUGAAAGGGCCACAUUGCCAAAGCCUGCAAAGCCAAACAGCCCACACUAUUCCAGCCCAAACCACAGGGAACCAAGUAGACCAGCACACCCAAGACCUGACCAGCAAAAGUACAAGCACCAAGAUGACCAAUACCCUGUGUCCAGAGACAUUAACCACACUACUGUGGACCACUCAGACACAUACGAGGGAGAAAUACCACACUACUGUGACAAUCGAGGGAAGCCAUGCCAGAUGGAGCUGGACACAGGGCCAUUCUUUACCAUCAUCUCCUGGCCGACCCUCAAGCGCCUAAACCCAUCCACCACUAAAAAGCUGCUCAAGCCACAAAAUGUCUGCCUGAAGAAUUUUCAAGGAAAUAGCAUCCAGAUGCUGGCAGACUGGAAGUAAGGGUGAGCUUCAAGGAAUUCCUGGCCAGCUACCCCUCAUUGUCGUAGCGAACGACCGGCCAUCCUUGUUGGGCAUAGAGUGUUUUAAAAUUCUAGGACUUGGCAUCACGGGACUCAACCAUAUCUCCAGAACCGAACUGGACCAGCUGCUGAUGUAAUUCAGGAACAUGUUCGACGGGGGCCUAGGUAAAUAUACGGGAAGCCCAUCACAUUCAUCUAGACCCCAGUGUAACCCCCAUCAGGCUCAAACCCCAAAGGGUCACUUUUGCUCUACAGCCCAGGGUAGAUGAGCAACUGGAGAAACUCAUUGCUCAAAGAAUCCUGGUGCCAAUUAACCAUGCCACCUGGGAGACCCCGAUAGUCACCCCAGUAAAGGCGAAUUGCUCUGUCUGCCUCUGCGCUGAUUACAAAUGCAUACUAAACAAAGCCCUCCAGCAGAGUGCAUAUCCAGUGCCAGUGGCGCAGCAUCUGCUCCAUUCCCUGGGAAGCGGGAAAGUAUUUGCCAACUAGACCUAGCCCAGGCAUACCAACAGUUACCAAUAGACAAUGCCACUGCAGAGACUCAGUCGAUAGCCACACACAGAGGGGCAUUCAAAUGCACGAGACUACAAUUGGGGUCUUUUCCACAAAACAAUGUCACUUAGACCCAGAGGUCAUGCCUUCUAUGAGGCAAUAUUUGUCCUACGCAUCAUUUCCUCCAAGGCUAAAAUAAUCAGCAUCCUUCUGACCUUCCAUAAGUGCCUUAAAGACCAGGCUCUUCCCCAAAAUAAGACACUUGAAGUUUGUGUUGCUGGCAUGGCUAUUAUUGCUGAUUUCUGUUAUUCAGUUGCUCUCUUUUAUUUACUUUAUUAUUUGAUAGUUUAUGUACUUGUUUUUCAAUUAAAAGUCUCUUAAAAUUGCUCCUACAAGUUGGGCAGCCUUUUAAAUCUAAUUAGUAGUAUAACAAUGUGACUACAUUACUAUUAUGUAAACAAUUAUAUAGUUUUUAAAAAAGAAACCUUAUCUAU